rnacentral:misc_RNA from 1 species
GAGAAAUCUAAUCUAGUUGACGAUGUUGGGAAUUUUCGGCAUAUUACAUCCAGUCUUGGAGAGCGGCACCUCACUUUACACCAACGUAGCACUCAAAGAGUCCUCUUUAUCCCAUGCCAGUGGAGGAAGGGUCUGAAGCUUAGUGGUGAAGCUGCUGUUGAAAAAAUUACUUUAGAUGGAGUGAAGGGUUUGCGUGUCAUGUUGGGUGCGACUGCUCAUGAUGUUUUAUAUUACAUGAGCCCCAUCUAU